GACGAACGCUGGCGGCGCGCCUAACACAUGCAAGUCGAACGAGAGAUGAGGAGCUUGCUCUUCAAAUCGAGUGGCGAACGGGUGAGUAACGCGUGAGGAACCUGCCUCAAAGAGGGGGACAACAGUUGGAAACGACUGCUAAUACCGCAUAAGCGCACAGUACCGCAUGGUACAGAGCGAAAAACUCCGGUGGUAUAGGAUGGACCCGCGUCUGAUUAGUUAGUUGGCGGUGUAACGGACCACCAAGACGACGAUCAGUAGCCGGCUUGAGAGAGUGAACGGCCACAUUGGGACUGAGACACGGCCCAAACUCCUACGGGAGGCAGCAGUGGGGAAUAUUGCACAAUGGGGGAAACCCUGAUGCAGCAACGCCGCGUGAGUGAAGAAGUAUUUCGGUAUGUAAAGCUCUAUCAGCAGGGAAGAAAAUGACGGUACCUGACUAAGAAGCCCCGGCUAACUAACGUG
rnacentral:rRNA from 1 species